rnacentral:tRNA from 1 species
ACUGGGAUAGCUCAGUCGGCAGAGCAUGAGACUCUUAAUGCCAGGAUCAUGGGUUCGAGCCCCACCUUGGGCA